GCCUGACUGGCUCAGUUGGUAGAGCAUGGGACUCUUGAUCUCAGGGUCAUGAGUUCAAGCCCCAUGUUGGGUG
rnacentral:tRNA from 1 species